CAGUCGCCACGGGAAUACGAAGGGUGCAAGCGUUAAUCGGAAUUACUGGGCGUAAAGCGUGCGUAGGCGGUGAGUUAAGUCUGCUGUGAAAUCCCCGGGCUCAACCUGGGAAUGGCAAUGGAUACUGGCAAGCUAGAGUGUGUCAGAGGAUGGUGGAAUUCCCGGUGUAGCGGUGAAAUGCGUAGAGAUCGGGAGGAACAUCAGUGGCGAAGGCGGCCAUCAGGGACAACACUGACGCUGAGGCACGAAAGCGUGGGGAGCAAACAGGAUUAGAUACCCGGGUAGUCCAUGUCUCUUAUAA
rnacentral:rRNA from 1 species